UACGUAGGGGGCUAGCGUUGUCCGGAAUCAUUGGGGCGUAAAGCGCGUGUAGGCGGUCCGGUAAGUCCGCUGUGAAAGUCGGGGGCUCAACCCUCGGAUGCCGGUGGAUACUGUCGGGCUUGAGUACGGAAGAGGCGAGUGGAAUUCCUGGUGUAGCGGUGAAAUGCGCAGAUAUCAGGAGGAACACCAAUUGCGAAGGCAGCUCGCUGGGACGUUACUGACGCUGAGACGCGAAAGCGUGGGGAGCAAACAGG
rnacentral:rRNA from 1 species